rnacentral:lncRNA from 1 species
GUAGAUGUCUGCAUGCUUCUCGCUUUUGAAUGUCUUCCAUGUGUUCCUUGGGAUAAUACCGAUAAGUUGUUAUUCGUUUUGAACAAAAUGCCUCUUCGCGCCCGAAUAACUAUUGAUCGACGCAUCUUACUGAUGUCGAAAACCUGAACAACCAUGUCGUCGAAAUGCUAGACGAAAUACUCAUUUUUUCCUGAAAAACACUAAGUCUC